CUCUCAUCCAUGACCUGUCAGACCCUGUCUCCAUCUUUCUCAGAUUCCGUGUUGUGCUCCCUGAGAGGGAGGCUUGGCCGGCAUGCCCCAGGAUAAUAAGAGCACGGCACUGUACCGAGCAUCACAAGGAUGACAACUUAACCAUCGUGACCGGCUGAAAUGUGACGCCUGUUGACUAAAAUGUCCCCAUUUCUGCAGGGGAGGGACAUCCUCCUAUUCCAGGAUGCCAUGGUCAAAGAGUGCUCAGAUGAUGGAUGCGUGCAUGACGGAUGUUCCGACCACCGACACAAUGGGCCCAAAUCAGUUGGCUCAGAGAGUCUGGCUACCAGAGAAUUGUGCAUUUCAGCUCUGGGACUACUCCUGCUACCAUACUGACUGCUGAAACAAGUCCACUUUGUCUACGGGAAGAUGAGAUUCUACUGUCCAC